rnacentral:rRNA from 1 species
AAAUAGAACUUUGCAGAGAGAGUUAACAGGGCGUGAAACCGUUAAUUGGCAAACGAAUCGGAGCCACGAAGUCGUUUCGUUGAUAGUUGGAGUCGAGUUCAGGCGCGCAUUCGCAAGAAUGCGCGCUGUAUUCUCAGGCUCAGCCAUCUUUGUAAGCGUACACUGCAACCAGUUAGACAAUUGGCAAUGGGCACAGCCGCGAGCGUAGGUAGCGGCGCGACUGGCUUUCGGGCCAGUGGUGUCGUUGGACGCGCGCGGGUGAACUAUCGCCAAACACUGACUGGCACACUGAAAAUCGCGUCUCGUACGCGUUACACACAAGGCCCGCAGUUGCAUGCGCGUCUACCUAGUCAACCGGCAAGUCUUAUCUAAGCUCAGCAUUUUUGAAUUUAGACUUGCUUGCUACCAAUGGGGCAACUCUUGGUGCUUGUACAGAUCUAUCUAAUCGGGUGUUGACUUGGCUGGUCGUAGUUUGGCUAGGAAGCGAUUGGGCGCGCAUGUAAGCGGCGCGGCAAGUGCAUUGGCAGUGAGUAGGUCGGCUUUCCGAACGACCCGUCUUGAAACACGGACCAAGGAGUCUAAUUAGGCAUCAAGUCGAUCGGUCUUGACUAGGCCAGACUGGCGGCGGCCUGCCGAUUGAAGGCGCAGAGAGAAUCGUGUGAUCGAUCGGGCAAAACAGCCUGUGCGCGCAACACGUGCCUGUUCGUAUAGCAACUGUCGCAAGUUGCUGGGCGGAGCAAAGAGAUGCCUGAUUGGUACCCGAAAGAUGGUGAGCUUGGGCAGGUUGAAGCCAGAGGAAACUCUGGUGGAGGGCCGUAGCGAUUCUGACGUGCAAAUCGAUCGUCAGACCUGAGUAUAGGGGCGAAAGACUAAUCGAACCAUC